CCUACGGGAGGCAGCAGUGAGGAAUAUUGGUCAAUGGACGAGAGUCUGAACCAGCCAAGUAGCGUGAAGGAUGACUGCCCUAUGUGUUGUAAACUUCUUUUAUAUGGGAAUAAAAUGUUCCACGUGUGGGAUUUUGUAUGUCCCAUAUGAAUAAGGAACGGCUAACUCCGUGCCAGCAGCCGCGGUAAUACGGAGGAUCCGAGCGUUAUCCGGAUUUAGUGGGUUUAAAGGGAGCGUAGGUGGAUUGUUAAGUCAGUUGUGAAAGUUUGCGGCUCAACCGUAAGAUUGCAGUUGAAACUGGCAGUCUUGAGUACAGUAGAGGUGGGUGGAAUUCGUGGUGUAGCGGUGAAAUGCUUAGAUAUCACGAAGAGCUCCGAUUGCGAAGGCAGCUCACUGGACUGCAACUGACACUGAGGCUCGAAAGUGUGGGUAUCAAACAGGAUUAGAUACCCUUGUAGUC
rnacentral:rRNA from 1 species